rnacentral:rRNA from 1 species
UACGUAGGGAGCAAGCGUUAUCCGGAAUUACUGGGUGUAAAGGGAGUGUAGGCGGGAUUACAAGUCAGAUGUGAAAACUGUGGGCUCAACUCACAGAUUGCAUUUGAAACUGUAGUUCUUGAGUGAAGUAGAGGUAAGUGGAAUUCCUAGUGUAGCGGUGAAAUGCGUAGAUAUUAGGAGGAACAUCAGUGGCGAAGGCGACUUACUGGGCUUUAACUGACGCUGAGGCUCGAAAGCGUGGGGAGCAAACAGGAUUAGAUACCCUGGUAGUCCACGCUGUAAACGAUGAUUACUAGGUGUGGGGGGACUGACCCCUUCCGUGCCGGAGCAAACGCAAUAAGUAAUCCACCUGGGGAGUACGGCCGCAAGGUUGAA